GAUAAAAAUAUGGAGGUGCAGACAAAUGUACCGCUGUCUGCAGAGGUUCAAUAUACUUCUGUGAGGUUUUGCAAGCAACCAACAGAACUUCAGAAAAACGCUGCCAUAAAUCACAAUCAGGAUUCUGAUUCUGAAGUGGUGUAUGCUGUUAUCCAGCCAAAUAAAGAACAAUUUCCAAGACAAAGAUAAUGAAAAAUAUAUUAAUAUUGAAUGUACAGCAAAGGGUAAAAAGAUUAACGUUAGACAUGCCAAUACAGCCCUAUAGGAUAACGCACAAUGUUCACUUAAGUUGUUUGAUAAUCAAUUCCAGACAUAACAUUUUCUACAAUUAACUUUAAUUUUCGCCUGCUAUAUCAAAAGCUCAUCCAUGUA